UCAGGGACAUAGCUUUAAUAUAGUUAUAUAAAGCACAUUUUAAUGUAUUUAUUAUACAACAUACAUAUUUAAAAUAUUGUAAGUUCUUUAGAGUCACAUUGUACACAAGAGGUGAAAUUCAAUGGGAAUGGUUGUGGAACAGAUUGGUGUGGUCAAAGAAAUGAGCCAGGGAUAUGAUUUUCCUAGCAAUACAGAUAAGUGAUAGUACUAGAGAGUGAAUUGGCAUUAAAUAGUUUAUUGACUCAAUAAAUAUUGUAUUUUCUUGAUGACAUCCUACCUAGGGUGGCAACGAAGGUCAGGGAGGAGAAAUAUAGCAAAAAAGUGAGAGGACAAAAGUUUGGGACUCAAUAGUUUGGCUGACUCAACAAGCUUAAUCAUAACAACAGCUGCAGCUUCAGUUUUGUGUAGCCCAAGUGCUCUUGAGAGUAUCCAAUUUCAUACAGAUAUUUUAGGACUCAUUCCGUGAAAUGAGAAUUUUGAUUGGUUUCAUGGGGUUUUCUGUUUUGCUGUUGCUCAGGACAACUUCCUGGAAACUGAAGGAAACGUAAUUAUGGCUUUAGUGGUUCUGAGGCAAUUAUUUUUCCCUCUCAUUCUCAGAUAUGCCACAUCUCAUGAGAUCAGGCAACAGUAUGACAUUAGCAACACUCAGCAAAUGUUUUUGCAAGGUAUAAAAUUUUCCAUUUAUUUAGUUUUUUUCCUGUUUUUCAAAACUACAAACAUUAAGAAAGUUCUAUAGAGCUCCUUUUAUAACAAUUUUGCUUCCAUAAGCAUAUGAAAUAAGUCUUUUCCCAUGAGGAAAAUUAAAUAAUGUGUACAAGAAUUUGACAAGAAUUUCUGCAGAAGUCUGACAUGUGACACACUCCUACAUACCCCUGGAGCAUGUGGGAAACAGAAGAGAAUCUGAAUUUGCCUCUGCAUCUCUUCCCUAAGUCACACUCUUUUCUAAAGCAUGAAUAGAGCUGAAAAGCAUCUAGGCUGGCAAAUUGCAGUGGUGCACUUUAACCUUUACUGUCAAGAUGAUAAGUCACAAACUGUGACCCUCUGCCAUCCACCAGGAGAGAACAGUUGAUAUCCCACCUUAAUUUGUAUAGCUGUGUGUGUACAUAUUUGUGUGUGUGUAUACUAAUUCAGAUAAAGCAUUCAUGUCCAAAAAACAUUAGCAAAAAUAAAAAUUGUAUAUGGAAUCAGAUGGAUUGGGAAGUUUAAAGACAUGGGAUUUCAACUGGGCUUGCUAUUCUGCAGCAUGCACACAUUAAAUAAACAACACUGUUCUGUUUGUACUCAGUAGCUGCAUAAAAAUGGUGUUUUCUGUGCUGUUGUUUACAUUUUGCCACAAAUAUUUUUGUGAAGAAUACAGUUGUCAUACUCCAUGCAUUGUCUAGAAUACUUAAAUCCUUAGAGAGCAGAAAGUUAGCCUGGUCUUACAGUCUUGUAUUCUCGGUUUUAUAGGCUCUAUGCCUGUCAUUUUUUUACUCAGGCUUUCAUAUAAUGUUGGUUAAUUAAAACGAAAUGAGACAGAGUGUUAAAACUCUCCAAGACAUCCUUUCAUUAAGAAUAUUGUGAAUGUAAGCAGCUACAUACAGAAAAGAUGGCUUUAGUCCCUCCUGCAGAAGGGAAAGGUUGCAAUAUGAGCUCAGUCACAUUGUUAGAACUGAGAUAAUGCACAUGAAAAAGUUUUGCAUCAAACUAGAUUUCUCCAGUUCUGCUUCCAAGAAGUACUUGUUCUGCUCUCUUUGACUGUGAUUCUACUUACUGCAUCAAUGUAGAAAAGCUUACUGCCAUCAUACACUUUGAUUUAAAAAGAUAGUGAACUGAAAAAAUACAUUUUUUUCUGGAAUAACAACACAGGAAGGAAACCCCUUACUUGGUGAGAUCAUGACACACAUAUACCAGCUCCUCUAUAAAUUAACAUGUUUUGAAUAGAGUAAUAAACAGUUUUUCUGAAGGAAUUUUAUGAAGAAAAGGAAAGCAGUUGACAGCUCUCUGUAUCAGUAUCUUUGUAUUAGAAGUCUGCUACCAUGUUGGGAAGAAAAGAAAAUAAAAGAGGCCUGGAUGAAAUGUAAAUUCUUUUAAUUCAAUCAAUUAGGUCUGUAGCUUUUCUUCACAGGCAGAAAAUGAUGGCAUCAAAACUGAAGACAGAAGUCUCAGCACUGAGAAAUGUCUCAGGAAAACUGAAUAAGGUAGAAGUCACCAAAAUAACUUAAGGAUUUUUAUGCAGAGGAUGAAGGUUAUUCUGUCCUCUUCGGUGAUUUUGUUUAACAAAGUAAAUAAAUAAAUAAAUGUUUUCACUAGUCACCUUAGUUUCAUUUUAGUACAGCCCAUUUCUUGUUUAACACAGCUUCUGCAUAAUUUUAAAUGGAUGACUGAUGCUCAGAGAGGAAGAUAGUGUUAGGAUAGACACCAUCAAAUUGGCCAAGGACCCCGAUUUUGGGUGAAUGUGACCAGUCUUCACCAAAGGUGAGUUAGACAGUCAUGUUUUCAAAAUCCUUCCAGAUGACCAUAUAUCAGUUUUGUUAUCAUUACGGGGAAGAGGUUAAACUAGUCACACUUUGGCAAAUCCCUCUUUACCUUCUAAAAGAGUCAAUAGGUCCUGUCUUUUCCUCAGGAGGUGUACACAGCAACAAAAAAGGUCUUGACAUUAAGAUAAUAGUAAGAGUACAUGAUCUUCUGUGUUUUGCGGACAUACUUAAAUAAAGGUUCCUAGAAACCUUCAUUCAAUUCUAAUACACCUUUUCUUACUCACUAGCAAGGUAGAUUAAAAAAAAGGAAAAAAGUUGAUCAAAAUUCAUUGAACAUAGUUCCUAGGAUGUGCAUUUUAUAACGUGGGUUUAUUCUUAGAUUUCAGAUCCUUCUUUGAAGUUGAUGGGAUCUGUCCUCCCAUACUUGAGUAGGCAGGAAGUCUAUAAUCUCUUUUUAGAAUAUCGGGUCGUAUUAACUCUGAGGGAAAGCAAGCACCUUCUUUUCACAAGGCUCCAGCACAAUUGUAACAAAGCCUAAAGACAAAGCUAUCUCUCAGAAAACAGGUAGGUACCUUUUCCUCUCCAGAGCCCAAAAUACUCUGUUAGUUUCUGAAAAAGUCAGGAACCAGCAUAAGGGGGAAAUGGAAAGAAUGCAGAUCUUUUAUGUCUGUGUUACCAGCCUUGCAAAGCUUCUCUCACUCAGAGGAAAAAUACUCCCCAAGGACUCAAAUCAUAUGCAAAUAUAUCAGUUGCUCAAGUCAACACUCUUGAAGCACAUGCUUAUGUAAAUUUAGAGUAUAUUUGAUCACUCUUAGGAAAAUAACACUUACAUCACUUUUGCCACAUGACAAGGAGAAGGUGUGGGUCUUCUGGUUUCCCAUCAGAAGGAACAGAACCAAUACCCAGCGUGGGUGUAUUUCUAGACCACACAUUUAUAAUUUCCCAUUGGAAUAAAAAUAUUUUUGAUUUAGAAUCCUUAAAAAUAAAAGUAGGUUAAUCCUACAAUUCUGACUAGGGCACUGCCUGUGUUCAAAACUGAUGUACCACCCUUGAAAAAGUCUCCAAAAUCCUUACAUGUCAUGAACAGAACAAAUUAAUUUCAUUAGUCUUAGAAUUUCUAUUUAAGGCUCAGGUGGUAAAAAAAAGUAAUUUAUAAACAUCUUGUGAUUUUUUAAUGCAGAGAACAAGUAUCUGCUAGUAGAUCUUUACAUGUGGAAAAACUUAACCUGUAUUUCUUUUAAAACAGGGAUCUGAGGAGUACUUCUAGCCUUUUGAGAACUAAGAUGACUAAGAUGUUCAGGUGACUCACGGUGGAAGACAGGAAGAGUUAUGCUAACUCAGACCGACAAGAAAGACUCUUUGAUCCAAAGGGACUACAGAAUGAUCCUGGAUCUAAACCCAAGGACCCUGAGCAGCAGCAUUGAUAUAGUGCAAAAACAGACCCAGCAAACUCCCCAAGCUGAGAUGUGAUGUGUCUGUGUCCUACCACUGUCACCUGGACCACUGACCCAGCACAGCGAUGUGGGUGCUCUUCCCAAGUGAGGCUCUGCUGGGAUGGGGGUGAAGGAGAGGUUUCCGUCCCAGCCACCUCUCCUGCUGGAGAUGGCAGGACGAGGCAGGUGCUCAGCACCUAUACACCCAGUUCUGAGAAACCCUCCAGAGGACACACUGCGCCCAGGACACAUGGAGUGCCUGAGGAAACAGCUAUCGGAAUAAUCUCCCCAGGAAAGUGGUGGAUUCUGCAACAUUGGACUCUUGUAAGCUUCACUUGGACAGGGUGCAGGGCCAGGUUGUCUAGACCGUGCUUUUGCCCAGAAAGGUUGGACCAAGUGAUCUUUGUGAUCUCUUCCAACUUGGUAUUCUAUUACUCUAUGAAAUCCUGUGAAAGAAAGCUGCAUCCCUCCUCAGGAAAAAGAUAAACAGAUUUUUGUAAGGCUAGGUGACUCUCAGACCCAUCCUGCUGGCACAGCUGUGCAAGUGAUGCACUGUGGUGAAAGAAGAGGAAAUGGCUGCAGGGUUUGAGGUGGGGACGUCAUAAGGCAGUGUGAUUGAAGACUACUGGUGUCAUGAAAUACCUUCAGCUCUGUUUUUUCCCUUCAGAAGAUCGUCCCUUGCACAUGUCUAAGAACCUAUUCUUCUUUAAAGCUAAACACUGCUUUCUCCAGCCCAGUUUCAGAUGAUUGUCAGACAGGUAAUUCCAGUUAGAGAAAACACCAUAUUUGAAAAUAUCCACUUUGAAAAUCAAGUAUCAGAGACUCAUUGAGGCUGGUUUCCUAGAGCAGCGCAGAAGCUCUCAUAGACUUCCAAAUUCCACAUUCACUCACUUUGUUUUCUCCAUAUAAAUAUAGGGACAUAAAAAUAAUGCAGGGUUUUCUUCAUCAGUGACAUUAAGACCAGGAACAUAUGUGAUGCAGAAGCACUGGAAGAUGACCAGCUGUGCUCUCAGUAUGUUCAGUGUGUUAACAGAACUAAACUUUCAGCUUUAGGCAUUCUGGGGUACAGGUUGUGGUGUAAUAUGAUAUGUGGAAGAAAAUGAAAUAU